rnacentral:rRNA from 1 species
AUUGAACGCUGGCGGCAGGCCUAACACAUGCAAGUCGAACGAGUGGCGGACGGGUGAGUAAUGUCUGGGAAACUGCCCGAUGGAGGGGGAUAACUACUGGAAACGGUAGCUAAUACCGCAUACCAUCGGAUGUGCCCAGAUGUGAUUAGCUAGUAGGGGGGGUAACGGCUCACCUAGGCGACGAUCCCUAGCUGUUCGGAGAGGAUGACCAGCCAAACGGGACCUGAGCCACGGUCCAUACUCCACCGGGAGGCAGCAGUGGGGAAUAUUGCACAAUGGGCGCAAGCCUGAUGCAGCCAUGCCGCGUGUAUGAAGAAGGCCUUCGGUUUGUAAAGUACUUUCAGCGAGGAGGCGUUACUCGCAGAAGAAGCACCGGCUAACUCCGUGCCAGCAGCCGCGGUAAUUC